GACGAACGCUGGCGGCGUGCUUAACACAUGCAAGUCGAACGAUGAAGCCGGAGCUUGCUCUGGUGAAUUAGUGGCGAACGGGUGAGUAACACGUGAGUAACCUGCCCUUGACUCUGGGAUAACUGCGGGAAACUGUAGCUAAUACCGGAUACGACCCUCGGAGGCAUCUCCUGGGGGUGGAAAGAAUUUCGGUCAAGGAUGGACUCGCGGCCUAUCAGCUAGUUGGUGAGGUAAAGGCUCACCAAGGCGACGACGGGUAGCCGGCCUGAGAGGGUGACCGGCCACACUGGGACUGAUGCACGGCCCAGACUCCUACGGGAGGCAGCAGUGGGGAAUAUUGCACAAUGGGCGCAAGCCUGAUGCAGCAACGCCGCGUGAGGGAUGACGGCCUUCGGGUUGUAAACCUCUUUUAGCAGGGAAGAAGCGAAAGUGACGGUACCUGCAGAAAAAGCACCGGCUAACUACGUGCCAGCCGCCGCGGUAA
rnacentral:rRNA from 1 species